CAGCCAAGUAGCGUGAAGGAUGACUGCCCUAUGGGUUGUAAACUUCUUUUAUAUGGGAAUAAAGUUUUCCACGUGUGGAAUUUUGUAUGUACCAUAUGAAUAAGGAUCGGCUAACUCCGUGCCAGCAGCCGCGGUAAUACGGAGGAUCCGAGCGUUAUCCGGAUUUAUUGGGUUUAAAGGGAGCGUAGGUGGACAGUUAAGUCAGUUGUGAAAGUUUGCGGCUCAACCGUAAAAUUGCAGUUGAUACUGGCUGUCUUGAGUACAGUAGAGGUGGGCGGAAUUCGUGGUGUAGCGGUGAAAUGCUUAGAUAUCACGAAGAACUCCGAUUGCGAAGGCAGCUCACUGGACUGCAACUGACACUGAUGCUCGAAAGUGUGGGUAUCAAACAGGAUUAGAUACCCUGGUAGUCCACACAGUAAACGAUGAAUACUCGCUGUUUGCGAUAUACAGUAAGCGGCCAAGCGAAAGCAUUAAGUAUUCCACCUGGGGAGUACGCCGGCAACGGUGAAACUCAAAGGAAUUGACGG
rnacentral:rRNA from 1 species